AAAUUGAGAAUUGAGCGGCAAUAUCUUUCUCCUCUUUUUCUUUCACGCUAAUAGUUUUCUUCCCCUUUCAGCCGUUCUCUUUUAGAGUACGCUUUCUUCUUAAAACCCUAAUCGUGUUCCUUCAUCAUCUACGAUCCUAAUCUCUGUCGUUCUUAUUCAUAAAACAAUCAGGCUCAGUUACAUGGUGGUGAGACGUGCAUAUGGUGGUGGUUAUGAUGAAGAAGGUUGAUACAGUGGAAGCCUUAAUGGUGAUUACAGAGGUGGUGGUUUUUAAUCAUCAUAUUUUGAUUAAUAGGAUGCGGAUUGUUUAGGUUUAGCAGUUGAAAUCAUCAGUAGUUUGAAUCAAGAAGCGAACAUCAACAAUCAUCAUCAUGUAAGUGAAGAUUCGAUUGAAUCUGUAUUGUUGUUGAUUGUUUGCUUUAAAUUAUUUUCAGUGGUGUUUCCUGUUACGAUGAGAAAGGUUGUCUUGGUGUGUAUCGAUUUGAUACGUUUUUAAUUAGAUUUAGGUUAUAUGUUAUAUUCAUGUUUGGUUUCAGGAUUUCAUGUAUGGAUUGUUUAGAUUUCAAAUGAAAACAGAGUAGUUAUUUCAUGGGGGUUUUCUUUAUUCUUUUUGAAAUUAAAUCAACCUACUCAAUGUGUAUAUUGAUUGUUUUUGUUUGGUUAAUUUCCAAUUAGGGUUAUGUUAUUUUUGGUUAUUGAUGUUGAGAUCAAGGUUUUCUAUAUGCAAUGGAAGAGCAAUACAAGCCAAUGAAAGAAUUUGGUGCCGGGAAUUUUAUAGUAGCAAGCCUGUUUAUAUAUAAGAAGAUGAAAGAACUGUUUGCUAUCAAAUACAAUGAAUGAGGGAAACAGGUAUAAUCAUUAUUUUCUGAAUUGUGAGAAGAAAUAACCUUCAAUAGCGAUUUUGAAACCCAUCAAAUUUCUUUAACAUUAUAUGUGGUUUACCUCACUUUCUAAAAGAAAUCAUUAUUAUUUCAAAGCUUCUAUGUUUAUCUGAAACUGAGAAUGGGUAUGUAAAUUUGCAAUUCUUUUUAAUCUUUAUCUGUUUUCUUGCAAAUUCACUCCAACGGCGAUUGGAGUUUCGAUGUCGGUGCCUUGGUUGCUCCUAUGCUACACCGCCACCAUUCCGGUUGGAUUCUUCCUCUAUUUUGUUCUUGGCGGCGCCAUUGGAAAACACUUCGUCUCUCAUUUUGUAUUCGUAUGCUAUUAGAUCUCUUACUUUUCAAUUGUUUCUAAAUAAAUUUUUUUCCAUUCAUAUUUGUCCUUUGUUAGGGUUUUGACAAUAACAUCACAGCGGCACCGCGGCAACCUGUCUCCGCUCGAGUUGUAAGUAUAUUUUUUUCCGAUAUAGCAGUUGUGUGAUAAUGAGUUUGUACUUUUCUUAUAGCGUAUUAUAGCUUGCAUUUGCCCUCAUCAAUAACUCAUAAACUGUUGCAGAGUUAAUUUUUAUGAAUUUGUUUGGGAUACAUUCGAUACGGUUGAUGAAUUGAUUGAUCCACUUUAGACUCUAAAGACGGGAAAUUGAAAUAUGGAUAUAACAAGAGA